UAUUUUUGCACCCGUCUUACAAAAGUUGUAUUGACAUACAUAAAAAUCAUUAAAUAAUAUUGGAAUG
rfam:Flavobacterium plurextorum strain CCTG 60112 WGS0045_contig_14, whole genome shotgun sequence.